UACAGAGGGUGCAAGCGUUGUUCGGAAUUAUUGGGCGUAAGGCGCGUGUAGGCGGCUUUGCAAGUCGGGUGUGAAAGCCCUCAGCUCAACUGAGGAAGUGCGCCCGAAACUGCAGAGCUUGAGUGCCGGAGAGGGUGGCGGAAUUCCCCAAGUAGAGGUGAAAUUCGUAGAUAUGGGGAGGAACACCGGUGGCGAAGGCGGCCACCUGGACUGUACCUGACGCUGACACGCGAAAGCUAGGGGAGCGAACGGG
rnacentral:rRNA from 1 species